rnacentral:rRNA from 1 species
GACGAACGCUGGCGGCGUGCUUAACACAUGCAAGUCGAACGGGAUCCAAAGGCUUUUUGUUUUUGGUGAGAGUGGCGAACGGGUGAGUAACACGUGAGUAACCUGCCCCCUUCUUUUGGAUAACCGCAUGAAAGUGUGGCUAAUACAGGAUAUUCCAGGCUGGUCGCAUGAUUGGUUUGGGAAAUGGUUUGGUCUGGUGGGGGAUGGGCUCGCGGCCUAUCAGCUUGUUGGUGGGGUGAAGGCCUACCAAGGCGGUGACGGGUAGCCGGCCUGAGAGGGUGGGCGGUCACACUGGGACUGUGAUACGGCCCAGACUCCUACGGGAGGCAGCAGUGGGGGAUUUUGCACAAUGGGCGCAAGCCUGAUGCAGCGACGCCGCGUGAGGGAUGAAGGCCUUCGGGUUGUAAACCUCUUUCGCUGGGUUGAAAGGCCAUGCUUUGGGUGUGGUUGAUUUGAACUGGUAAAGAAGUACCGGCUAACUACGUG